ACGCCUUUGCUACUCCAGUACAACGCGGGCGACUACAAUUGCCUGCAUCAGGACCUGUACGGCGAGCAUGUGUUUCCGUUGCAGGUCGCAAUCCUGUUGUCGGAACCGGAGCGCGAUUUCACCGGCGGCGAGUUCGUGCUGACGGAGCAGCGUCCGCGCAUGCAGUCACGCGCAGCGGUGGUGCCGCUGAAGCAGGGCGAUGCCGUGGUGUUCGCGGUUCAUCACC
rnacentral:misc_RNA from 1 species